CUACUGUGAUGGGGUUUUUGCACCAAGAGAAAUGGAUUAUAAUGCAAAAUUGGCAAGAUCUUUGUUGCAUGUCUCCAGAAUGUUACAGAACUGCUGUUCAGACAUUCCCAUCUUGUAAAGGGUAAGCAUCACACAGAAGCAUCAUCAUCUACAGAUGUGACACUGAAUUUUAGUAUUCAUAUUUUCCAACUGAUUUUACUUCACCAACACCUUUCUACCAUAAUACUGAAAGGAGAAGAGGAAUUGCAACCCUACAGAGAAAAAAUAGCAACCUCUAUCUGCAUUACAAUUUCAAAGGCAGAGAAAGGGGCACGAGCUGACUAACAGCACAAAUGUUUGGACCGCAGACAGAGGUUUACAAACUGACGUCCAUGUGUACAAUGCAGGUCAGUUUAGUCAAAGGCAGAAAGGGGCAUGAAGCCACUCUGAAAAACAAAAAUCUCACUCUUCACAUUGUCCUGUCCUGCUGGGGACAAGAAAAGAUGAGCAAAAACAUUCUAGCCAGAUGUGUCGCUUACCUUUUUCCAUUGGCAAGACAGAGGGAUACAUCUCAUUUGUUACCAAAAGACUGGACCUGCUAUACAGACAAAAUGAAGAGGAUCUAAAUUCUGAGAAGCACCGGCUUUGCCGUAUGCCUGGCGCCAGCAUGGGAAAAGGCCCCUCGAAGAGGCCAAGAUGCGCUUCCCAAGCAGCACUGCUGCCUUCCCAGGUCAUCCCAGUAGUGCAGCUGCAGCUGGUAGGCUGCAGAGAGGGAGGCAGAGCUUUUGGGACCUCUGGAACACAGUGCACAGAGACAACUGCAUCUGACUCAGAUUUCACUUAAAAGGCGCCUUCUGUUAUCAGUCAUGUAAAGGUCUAUUGACUUCAGUAGAGCUCUAUGUGUACUGUCACACACACACAUGCAUACGUGCAAAGCGCCAUCAUGAAGCAUCCUCCCAGCUAGCAGGCAGCCAGCAUGACAAUGAGAAGGCUCUUUUGUUUGUAGCCAUUUAUAGGAGACAGGGAGCUUUUAGUGCCUUGUACCAGCAUAGUCUGUGGUUCAUAUGCAGCAGUC
rnacentral:lncRNA from 1 species